GAUUGGUAAAACCAUCUGAAUUUCCACCAGUGAUUCUGGAACAAAAAGCGCUCCUGGAAGUAAUGGAUCAGUUAAAACGUUCACCUUCGGGAUUGGACUUCGUGUUACAGAAUACUGUCCCAUGGGGAGUAGCAUUUCAUCAUGCAGGUAUUCCAUAUUUACGAUCUGUUAUCUAGAAACCUUCUCUAAAAAUUCUCAAAUUUCUUCAUUUUGAUAUUUAUGUUCACUUAUUAAUUAACAAGACAUAUCUAAUUAACAAGAAAUAUUUUUUAAUCUCAAUAUUCUUGUAUCUCAUUUUAAGAAAUUGCAUAAUUAAGUUAAACAAGAAUAAAACAAACAUGUUCAAGUUUACUUAUCUAUGUAGUGUAUAGUACUAUAUAAAGGCUUUUUUGAAUCAUUGGGGAAGUAAAUUCUAAAAUUAUUAUGUUUCUGUACUGUUUCCUUAAAAUUUAGAGUAUGCUUGCUACUUUUAUGCCAUCUGAAUGUAUCUUUUUAUCUCAAGAGUACGAAAUAUUCUCAGAGAUAUCAAAAUCAAAUUUAUUUUAGAAAUUGUGAUAUUGCAUUUGGAGAGGGCUAGAAUGCUUAAAAUCAGAGAUUAUGGCAGUCAUUGAAUUAAAUAACUUUUUUUCAGGAAGUGUUCUAUCCAUGAUCAUAUGUGCUAAGGAUCUGAUAAAAAAUAUAUAGUUUCUACGAUUGAGAAUUUAACCUUUUUAACUUAUUUUAAAUGUUUAUCAGUAUAUAUAUAUAAAAUGGUAACAGUUAUGUGAUUUUUAAUCAUGAUGUAUACAGUAUGUAUAAUACACCUAUGUAUAUAUCAUGAUACAAAAUUUAAAAUAAAUUUUAGUAAAUCUACCAAAUUUAUUUAAAUUUUCUAAAAUUUAAAAUUUAUUUUAAAAUAAAUUUAAAAGAACACCCAAAAGAAUAGGGAUUGGGAAACUGUAGUAUGCUAUAAAUUUAGCUUGCCAUCUGUUUUUUUUUUUUUUUUUUUUUAAGUUUUAUUGGAACACUAUCAUGCCUAUUCUGUGUCUGUUUUUAUGUGACAGUGGCAGGGUAGAAUAGUUACAACAGAGUUUACCUAUUCUGCAAAAUCUAAAAAAAAGGAAAAAUUUGUUGACCCCAGAUCUAGAAGAUAUAGUAGGGGUGGCAGAUUAUGCGCUUAAAUAAAUAGACUGAUGAUUUUUCUGUUGUUGUAACAAUAGCUAAAGAAAAUCUUUGGGGUCUUGUAGCAAAUCCUCACAUUGUUUAUAAGUUAUCAACUAUAGCUUCAUUAUAUGUUAAUAAAUAUGUUUCUGGAACCCCCUUUUCUUUUCAGGGCUUACUUUUGAGGAGAGGGAUAUCAUUGAAGGAGCCUUCCGUCAAGGUCUCAUUCGAGUCUUGGCAGCAACUUCUACUCUUUCUUCUGGGGUGAAUUUACCUGCACGUCGUGUGAUUAUUCGGACUCCUAUUUUCAGUGGUCGACCUCUAGAUAUUCUUACUUACAAGCAGAUGGUUGGUCGUGCUGGCAGGAAAGGAGUUGAUACAAUGGGUGAGUUCGAAUUUAAUUGUAGUAGCAUUACGAAAGGACAGUGUCAAACUUGAAAUUUUGACUAAUACUUGGCUCCGUUUUUCACUGUACUGUUUCUUCAUUAUCCAGUAUACUUGGACAAGUCAUCUUUUUGGAUUUACUUAAUAUUUAUAGUGAAUAUCAGUUACAAUUUUCACAUAUUGUCAACCAUUGGUUUUCUACUAAUGUAGAAUUAAGAUUUUCUUUUGUAGCUUAUACAGUGAAAUGAUUCAGUGUUACAUAAAUCAAGAUGAUUUCUUUUUUGUUUAUUGUUGGCUGUUCAAAACAUUACAUAGUUCUUGAUAUAUCAUAUUUCACACUUUGAUUCAAGUGGGUUAUGAGCUUUCUUAUUACAUUAGCUGAGACAUGAUUUUUAGUUUGCAAAUAUAGUCUACUCUUUUUUAAAAAUCUUAUUUAUUUUUAUUUAUAUAAAACAGUAGAAUGCAUUACAAUUCUUAUUACAUAUAUAGAGCUCAAUUUUUUAUAUCUCUGGUUGUUUACAUAAUAACACUCAUACCAAUUCAUGUCUUCAUACAUCUACUUUGGAUAAUAAUGAUCAUCACAUUCAACCAUCAUUAAUUGGGACAUGAUUUUUAGUUUGUAAGUAUAGUCAACUCUUUAAUUCUAAUUAAUUUUCUUUUUUUUAAUAUAUUUUAUUUACAUUUUUUAGUUCUCGGCAGACACAACAUAUUUGUUUGUAUGUGGUGCUGAGGAUCGAACUCGGGCCGCACGCCUGCCAGGGGAGCGCGCUACCGCUUGAGCCACAUCCCCAGCCCCUCUAAUUAAUUUUCAUAGAUAUUAAUUCUGCUUAGGUUUAUGGUCUCAGAAGUCAGACUGGGAUUUUAAGAGCUGAGAAGCAUCCUCACACUUUUUGAAUAGGCAUUUUAUUCUUUUUUCAAGUUUAUUUAUUUAUUCUAAUCAGUUAUAUAUGACAGCAGAAUGCACUUCAAUCAUUAUACACAAGUGGAGCAGGAUUUUUCACUUCUCUGGUUGUACACAAAGUAGUCACACCAUUUGUAUCUUCAUAAAUGUACCUACGGUAAUGAUGUCCAUCUCUUUCCACCAUCUUUCCUAUCCCCAUGCCCCCUCCCUUUCCCUCCCUACCCUUUGCCCUAUCUAAAGUUCCUCCAUUCCUCCCAUAAUCUCCCCCCACCCCCAUUAUGACUCAGCAUCCACUUAUCAGAGAAAACAUUCAGUCUUUGUUUUUUUAGCAUUGGCUUUCUUCACUUAGCAUGAUAGUCUCCAGCUCCAUCCAUUUACCUGCAAAUGCUAUGAUUUUAUUCUCUUUUAACACUGAAUAAUAUUCCAUUGUGUAUAUAUACCACAGUUUCUUUAUCCAUUCGUCUAUUGAAGGGCAUCUAGGUUGGUUCCACAGUUUAGUUAUUGUGAAUUGUGCUGCUAUAAAUAUUGAUGUGGCUGCAUCCUUGUAGUGUACUAUUUUUAAGUCCUUUGGGUAUACAUUGAGGAGUGGGAUAGCUGGGUCAAAUUCCAGGUUUUCCAAGAAAUCUCCAUACUGCUUUCCAGAUUGGUUGUACCAAUUUGCAACUCCACCAGCAAUGUAUCAGUGUGUCUUUUUCUCCACAUCCUCGCCAACAGUUAUUGUUGUUUCUAUUCUUAAUAGCUGCCAUUCUGAGUGGAGUGAGAUGAAAUCUUAGAGUAGUUAAUUUGCAUUCUUUAAUUGCUAGAGAGGUUGAAUAUUUUUUCAUAUAUUUGUUGAUCGAUUAUAUAACUUCUUCUGAGAGUGUUCAGUUCCUUAUCCCAUUUAUUGAUUGGGUUAUUUCUUUUUUUGGUGUUAAGUUUUUGAGUUCUUUAUAUAUCCUGGAGAUUAGUGCUCUAUCUGAUAUGCAUGUGGUAAAAUUUGCUCCCAUUCUGUAGGCUCUCUCUUCACUUCACUGAUUGUUUCUUUUGCUGAGAAGAAGCUUUUCAGUUUGAUUUAUUGAUUCUUGAUUUUAUUUCUUGUGCUAUUGGAGUCUUGUUAAGGAAGUCAGGACCUAAUCUGACAUGAUGAAGAUUAGGGCCUACUUUUUCUUCUAUUAGGUGCAGGGUCUCUGGUCUAAUUCCUAGGUCCUUGAUCCACUUUGAAUUGAAUUUUGUGCAUGAUGAAUUUUGUUUUGUAUGGAUUUCCAGUUUCCUCAGCACCAUUUGUUGAAGAGUCUAUCUUUUCUCCAAUAUAUGUUUUUGGCUCCUUUGUCUAGUAUGAGAUAAUGUAUAUUUAUGUGGGUUUGUCUCUGUGUCCUCUAUUCUGUACCAUUGGUCUACAAGUCUUUGUUGGUGCCAAUACCAUUCUAUUUUUGUUACUAUUACUCUGUAAUAUAAAUGUAAGGACUGAUAUAUUGAUGUCACCUGGUUCUUUCUUCUUGAUAAGGAUUGCUUUGGCUAUUUUGGGUCUCAUAUUUUUCCGGAUGAAUUUCAUGAUUGCUUUUUCUGUUUCUAUGUUGAAUGCCAUUGGGAUUUUGAUUGGAAUUGCAUUAAAUCUGUAUAGUGCUUUUAGUAGUAUGGUCAUUUUGACAAUAUUAAUUCUGCCUGUGAAUAGGCAUUUUAUAUUCCACUUUUUCCUCCCAAUUGAUUCUGGCUCAGAAAACACUCUUUCAGUUUCUUAUCUUGUACUGGCAAGCAAUGAUAUUACCAGCAAUCCAUACAAAAUUUUUUGACUUAAGCAAUGAAGAAACUGGUUUCAACUAAAUAUCAAGAGAGAAAAAAAAAUAUUAUUUUGAAUCUACUAUACCAUUGAGAUCAUUUGAUGUUUUACUAAAUUGUUAAAGAAACUUAGGAAGAAUAUUCUCUGUCAUUUCAUCUUUCUCCUAUAGGAAUGUUAUACUAUAUAUGCCCCCCAAAACAAAAACAAAAACAAAAAAAAUCCCAUCAAUAUCAAAAAAACCAAUAAAAACCUUUGCAACUACUAAAGAGAAAUUAAGAAAUCCAGCAGAGAAACAAAAAGUGUUAAUGGAAAAAUAGGUGGGUUAUUUUGGGUACUAAAAGCUGAGUAGGAUAAGCAGAGAAACAAAAAGUGUUAAUGGAAAAAUAGGUGGGUUAUUUUGGGUACUAAAAGCUGAGUAGGAUACUGAGGAAGUGACUUUUAGAACCACCCAAUUUUUCACAUGAACUCCCCAAAUAUAGUUGAUUCUUAUUAUUUAUAGAUUCCAUAUUUGUGAAUUUCCCCAUUUAUUAGAAUUUUCUCAGAAAUCUGGGGCCUUAUUUUAUUUUUUAUUUAUUCAGAAUUCUGGGGGGUUUGCGGAUAUGUACAAAUCUGCAAAAAAUCUGAGUCUUUGCAAGUACACUUUUCUGCUGAGGUCAUAAGUCUGCCUUCUUCCUUCAGCUCCUUUACUGUAAACAAACAUCCUUUAAGGGUCUAUUUAGUGCCACAUUUUUCAUAAUUUUAUGUAUUUUCAUGGUGAUUUUUGUUUAAAAUGAUUUCUAGAUAUAGUACUUCUAGCUAGUAAUUCCUUUCUGCAUUAAGUCUAGAUGUGCCUUCUAGAAAAAUAUUUUAAAUGAGCUUUGUUCAGGCAUGAGCUAUAGCUGUGUUGUCUGUAAGUGCAGUUAAUAAAUCAAUAAUAUAUAUUAAAUAACAUAUCUUUAAGCAGAGACAGAUGAAACAAGGUUUAGUGUUCAAUGAUGAAAAGGUUGUGACUCUAGUCCUAGGCUCACAGGAAAUUCCUCUGUUCUCCCCCUGUGCAAUGAUGCAGAAUUCACCUUUUGGUGACUCUAUAGAAUGUAACUACCACAGAUAACAAGAAUUGACUAUGAUGUAUUGGUGACUGGAUUAGUUAGAAUAUAAAUUUAUUGCUAUAAUGAAAGUCGACAUAUGUAAAUAAUAUAGAAUUAAAUUUCUUCCUGCCUCCCUUCUCCCUUCUCCCUUCUCCCUUCUCCCUUCCCUUCCCUUCCCUUCCCUUCCCUUCCCCUUCCCUUCCCCUUCCCUUUUCCCUUCCCUUUUCCCUUUUUGGUACUGGGGUUUGAACCCAGGGGCAUUUUACCAUUGAACCAUAUCCCCAGUCCUUUUUAAUUUUUUUAAUUAAUUUUUUUUGAGACAGGGUCUCAGUAAAUUGCUAAGGUUCUUGGUAAGUAGCUGAGACUGGCCUCAAACUUGGGAUCCUUCUGUCUCAGCCUCCUGAGAAAUUAGUUUCUUUCUCAUAAUGGUUUGCCACCUGGGGUUGACAUGCUGGUGCAACGUGUUAGACACCUCGUCUUUCAUUUUGUUUUUCCAGCAAUAUAGUUUCUGUCCUUUGGCACAAGAUGGCUAGUCCAGUCUCUUUCAUCAUUUGCAUUUGAAACAUCAGGAAGAGGGAGAUGAGGAAAUAAAACACAUGCCCUGCCCUUAAUGGGCACCACCUAGAAGUUGCCUAUAAUAUUUCUCCUCACAUACAGUUGACCAGAACUUAGUCACAUGAUUAUAUUCCCCAAUUGUAAAGAGGCUGGGGAAUCUAAUCUUUAGCUGAGUGGCUGUGUGCUGGACUUAAGGGUUUUAUUAAAGGAAGACUGAGAGGAUGGGUAUUUGGACACAACUGUCAUUCUCAGACCCAGCAACAAAUGACUCAUUUUACAAUCUCUGAAGGAUUAUUGCUCUGCUUCUUUUUUAAGCCCUAAAUAUUUUGAUGAUUAUAAAAGCUUCCAAAUUAUUAGAUUUCCCUUAUGAUAGGUAUCAGAGAAGUUUAUCCUGUUUUCUCUUAUUUUACUACAAAUUAUGCAAAUGGUAUGUUUUGUAAGGGUGGGGGGAAUAAAGUAAGGUACUCCUAUUCCUAUUUGCCUCACCCUACCCUUCUCCAAACUGGUUUCUCAGUAGAUUCACAAUUCCAGAGAAAGAAAUGUAAGUCUCUUUUAUGUAGAUAUUCUUUCUUCAGGUCCAGAGGGCCUUUAAGUUAACAAAAAAGAUAAGGAGGUCUUAUUUACCUUAGCUUGUGUUUAUCAUAUGAAGAACAAUUGGAAGAUUGGUUCUCUGGGUUAAUUAUGAAGCCUUAAGUCAUAUGGUAUUACAUCAGAAUUAAAAAUACCUUAAUAACUCCAUUUCUUAAUUCUUGAAGUCUUUUGAGCUUUUGACCUUGCAUUCCUAUCAGGAUGGCAUAUAACUUGCUCAGAACUUUAUGCAAGUAGGGAAUGUGGGAAUAUGGUGUUUUAUAUUCACCAUGAAGAUUUAAAUGCUUGGUUUCACUUUUCAUACUGUGUAGUAUCUUUGUAACUUCUGUGCAUUUCAUAGAUUGUUAUUAACAUUUCCUGGAGAGUAUAUGGCAUUUUAUUUAGAUAACAUGGUGUUUUAUUUAGAUCAUCUGUAGAUUAUGUGGAAUCUUCCAUUGUAGGAUGAUGGUGCUUUGUGUCAAAAUAAUGAUUUACAGGGUCAACAGUCAGUAAUAAAUGUUUGAUUGUAAAUAGCUUCAAGUUCCCUCUUGUGGUAUCAAUGAGACCAGACAAGUGGGAGUAGGAACCUGUAUAAAUAUAUAUUGGCAUUUAUUUGGACAUCGCCGCAGUCUGGCUGGGCACACAAUCACGAGCCACCACACAGCUUGUAGAUUCAAACAGCAACUCUUUAUUCCCGAACUCACACCAGCCGUCUACAAUCACGUUCUGGGGAAAUCCANGCCUUGGUCCUUGAGCAAGGUCACGUACAUUCAAUGUCACUGCAACAUGUCAGCAACAUGGGGUACGCUGGCAAGGAAAUUGUCAUACCUACUUGGCUAAUGGCUCCCAGCAGGACAUUUUCAUAAAUCUUGCCCAUCCUCCAAAAGGGUAGUCCAUUUAAUUAAAUAAACGAAUUUCUCAGGAGCCUGAGACAGGAGUAUCCCAAGUUUGAGGUCAAUCUCAGCAACUUAUCAAGACCCUCAGCAAUUUAAUGAGACCCUGUGGCAAAAAAAUAAAAUAAAAAUAAAAGGACUGGGGAUAUGGUUCAAUGGUAAUGUACCCCUGGGUUCAAACCCCAUUUCCAAAAAAGAAAGGAAGGAAGGAAGAAAGAAGGUAGGAAGAAUUUAUUUCUAUCUUGUUUAAAUUUGUUGACUUUUAUUACAGCAAUAAAUUUAUAUUCUAACUAAUCUAAUCAAUAAAUCAUAGUCAAUUCUUGUUAUCUGUAAUAGUUACAUUCUAUAUUUAAACAACUCAGUAGCUUAUUAUUUUACUGCUAAUACUAGUUAGCUCAUUUUGUAGUGCUUCUUCCUUCAGCUGGGUUGUUUUGUGGGCAUUCAAAGAGUCAGGUGACAUUUUAUUCAUGUUUUUAAAAGCUGGAUAUUGACAAAUUUUAAUUAUACUUUUUUUUUUUUUGUAUUGGGGAUUGAACUUAGGGGUGCUUUGCCACUAAGUUAUAUCCUAUAUCUCACGUCCUUUCUAUUUUUUAGUUUGAGACUGGGCCUCCUAUGUUGUUGAGGCUGACCUUGAACUUGUGAUCCCACUGCUUCAUAGAUUAUAGGUGUGUUCCACCAUAACUAGCAUAAUUGUAUAUCUUUAUUGGGUACAAAGAGAUGCUAUGAUAUAUGUAUAGGAAGUGAUUGAAUCAAGCUAAUUAGCAUAUGCAUCACCUCAAAUAUUGAUACUUCCUGUAUAACUACAUAUUAUAAACUUUGAUCAACAUCUCUCCAUUUUUUCCACUCCCAGCCUCUAGUAACAACCAUUCAGAUGUUAUAGUUAAAGCUUCAUCCCAGGGUUUCAUAAACUGACUUCCAGACCACUCAUGUAUAAUCGAAUCAAGCCUUUAUUGAAGCACACCGGUGGCGGCUGACCAGAACAUAAAGCUGUUCCCCUGAUCAGCCCCGAACAAUUGCAAGGGCACUCCUUAUAAGCCUGAAAACCGCAAAAAGGAUGUUUGGGGGGCGGGGGUGGGGGGUCUAGCCAAUGCAAGCAAGCCAGGUUACAGAAGCGGGUCAGUGCAGUCAAGUAGGGGGAAGCCUAACCAAUCACAGUGAGCCCAGUCACCCCAGUUACAGAAACAGAGCCCCGUUACCCUAGUUACAGAAACAAUACCUCAUUAGAUAGUUUUGUGUUCUUAAAGGUUUCUAUAGCAAAAGGAAAAGAACAUCUUGCCCCAGUCAUGACCCUUCUACUUGGCAUUGUUGUUUUAAAGGAUGAAGUCAUAAAACAAAAUGGAGUCACAUUUGCUCCUACUACCACACAGCUCUCUGCUCCUUUGUGUUCAAAGUUUUUAAAUUUUAGAUUCCACAUAUAAGUAAAAGAUGUGGUAUUUGUUGGGAGUCUCCCUGAGAUCUCCCCAGGCCUUUCAAACAUGGCGGUGGGCAAAUUGCCAGUAGGCAGCUAGAACUCCCUGGGCCUUAAAGAUAAGAAGCCCCUAAUGCAACAUGGUGGCGGACAAGUUGCCAGUGGGCGGAUAACAAGUUGUUCUGAAAACCUCGUGGACAGUUCGUGCCCCCCAUGAAUUUUAUGCAGGGCGGACGUGCGUUCACCGUAGGUGAUGAACUGACCUUUACUAUGAUUGGCCCCGGGAGCUUCCUGGUUUAAGAUAACUGACUCUCACUUUCUAUAUAAACUAGCACCAGCUUGUAGUAAAGUGCUUCAUCUUUGUCACUGCUGUCUGUACGUGCAUUUUAAUCUCCAAUGACGAACCUUGGCCUUUCAGUAUUUAUUUUCUGUGCCUGAAUAUUCCACUAGCAUAAUAUCUUUCAGGUUCAUCCAUGUUGUCACAAAUACCAUAAUUUCCUUCUUUUUAAAGGCUGGAUAGUAUGCUAAUGUGUAUUUAUGCCACAUUAUCUUUAUCUUUUUAUCCAUUGAUGGGCACUUAUGUUCAUUCCAUAACUUGGUUAUUGUAAAUAGUGUUGCAGAAAAUCCAGGGAUGCAAGUAUCUCUUGAUAUACUGAUUUCAAAUUUUUGGCAUACAAACCUAGAAGUGGGAUUGCUGAAUCAUAUGAUUUUUGUAUGGGCUAUGUUUUCUAUUGUAUUCUGCAAUUCAGUCAUUAUAUUUUUCAUCUCUAGAAUUUAUAUUUCUUUCUGUUUUUUUUUUCUAUUUCUUUGUCAAACUUCUCAUUUUGUUCAUGUACUGUUUUCCAAAUUUUAUUUAAUUUUUAUCUGUAUAAUCUUGCAGUUCAUGGUCUUUCUUAAAAAAUAUUUUGGAUUCUUUGUCUAUUAUUUCAUACCUCUCCAUUUCUUCACGGUCCAUUGUUAGAGCUUUAUUAAGUUUCUUUUGGAAGUAUGAUUUGCUGAUUCUUUGUAAUUCAAUGUUUUUGUCCUGGUGUCCAUACUGAAACCAGAUUUUGAGAUAAAACUCUGUUCUCUACUUCUUUUGGUAUGUGUGUAAGCUGCAGGCCUCUGCAGCCAAGAAAGCCGCUUUUAGUUUUAGCAGCUAAUCACAACAGGGGAUGCAUACUGGCAUCAGCUCUGAAGGCAAAGCUGGAUUCUCCUCCACUAUCAUUGAGUGGUGUGUUGCUGCUUUCAGUUAUUGCAGCUCUAAAUGGGUGCUAUGGCCCCCAAUAUUGCAGUAGGCUCUAGCAGCUCUAGCAGCAAGGAUUUUGUCUUGCAAAUCUGAAGAAUAAAAUUCACACCACAGUGGAAGGCCAGAGUGAAAGGAGUAGGAUUUAUUCAAGUAUGAAUAGAAACAGAACUCCUGUAGGGGCAAGAGGGGAACCCCAUAGGGGUUACUGCCUGAGUGUGCUAAUAUAUAGGUUUAUGUAGCACUAGGGUUCACACUGUUGGUUCAAACUUAUGCUGAUCAGGAUUUGGAAAAGAACUAACACUAUUGGUUAAACCUUGAGCCUGAACUUCCAUUCAAGUUUGUUCCACUUCUGUGUUUGUUGUUUUCUGAUUGCCUUUAGCUCAAAAUAAUCUUUAUGCUCAAGUAGCAAAUUUGGGGGUAGCAUAUUCUGAUUUCCUUCUAUCCAAAGUUCUGUUUUUCUACAAUUUGGGGGGAAACAGGAGAUUGAGGUGGUCUGAUUGUGCAUGCUUGGGUGUGGCACUGUGUGGAGCAGGCACUGGGCCCAGUGUACGAAAGGUCAGUCAGCACCCCUGGCUUACCUAGCCUCACGCCCCAGAGGGUAUGGCAGGCUUCAUGUGGCCAGGGCCAGUGCUCCAGUCCACCUAGCUGCUCCUCCACAGCUCUAGGAUAACUUUAAAACUUGUAUGGAAACAGCCCCUUCUUUAUAGGUGUUCUUCAGAAGGGAUAGACUCUCGCUAAUUAGUGUGACCGAUGAUUCUGUGUGAGCCAGCUUCUAGUGAACCCAGGUAGUCAGAGCCUGCUUUUGGGUUUCUGCCUUUGCUUUAAUUUCAAGUGGGGCUACUGACUCGGCUCUGCUUUUGAGUCAGAACUGUCUGAACUCUGCAGUUAGGGAGAGUUGCUGGUUAGACAUUGCAAUCGACUAUGAUUGGAAUGAGUCCCAGGGUGUAUUUCCUGGCUAGAUGGUACCAAAAUUUGAGAUCUUUAGAGGCCAGUCUUGCAAGCUGGACCUUGAUGUUAAGCAGAGCUGCUGCUCAGUCUGGAUGGAACCAGCUGCUAUGCCAAGAAGUGCAUAAUCAAGGUUUGCCUUCCUGCCUAGAUAGGACCUUGAGUUGUGUUUCACAGAGCACUGUUAAAACUUCCAGGUGUGGCAGAACUAGUCCUUGCUCUUUGCUGAAAUGUGCUGUGGUGGUUAUCUCUCUCCCUGUACAGAGUCUUGGAUCUGGCAUUGGGGCUAGACCUGGAGGCUGGCUAUCCAGGGAUCCAAGCCAGUCAGAACUUCCCACACCACUCUGAGUGACCAGUUCAUAGCAAGCAUUGCUGUUGUGCACAGUAAUGUUGUUGGCUGGUAUUUUUAGGCAGGUACCCCUGCUGGCAGGUACACAGAGCUUCCACCAAGACCUGCCUGCUGUUCACCGUGAGCUCACCUCCUGUUUUGUUUCUACCUGACCCUAGGUGAUCUAGGUGGGCUUCUUGGGAUUAUAGUGGAAUGCUAGGAAGCUACAUGUCUGCUUCUGAUUCUCUUUUCCUACUAUAGAAACCAUGAGUCCUAGGGAUGCCUCUCCUUUGGCACUGUGAUGACCUUUGGACACUGUGCUCUGAUGUAGUCAAAAUGAAGUCAUUUAUUUUAGUUCUCUGUGUGUGUGUGUGUGUGUUUGCUGGGGUAGAGGGAGGGAGGCUGACAGGGUAGGAUUCUGUUGUCAUGCAGAUGCCUCAGGUUUAUUUUCAAGUUUGGAGGUCUUCACAAAGGAUCCUUUCUGGGGAGAGGGAAUGGGUUGGUAGUGAAACCUGGGAGCUCCUAUUCUACCUUUUGCAGUCAUCUUGUGUCUUUUUUUCAUAAUGGCACCUUUCUUUUUGUAAUUAUGUCUAGAUAAGUAGUCAAUGAUUAUCCAGUUUAUAGUCAUUUCAUUUUAUCCUGUCAUUCUCAACUUGGCAGUCAGUGAUAGGAAAGCAUCAACUGUACAUCUGUACUUUUUCUGCCUGGUAUGGUUAGGAUACAGUAUCACAAUGCCAGUUUUAUUUAGAGGAUAUACAAUCAAUCAACAAAUACAUGAAAAAAUGUUCAUCAUCUCUAGCAAUCAGAGAAAUGCAAAUCAAAACUACUCUAAGAUAUCAUCUCACUCCAAUCAGAAUGGCAGCUAUUAUUAAGACAAACAACAAUAAAUGUUGGUGAGGAUGUGGGGAAAAAGGUACACUCAUACAUUGCUGGUGGGACUGCAAAUUGGUGCAGCCAAUAUGGAAAGCAGUAUGGAGAUUCCUUGGAAAUCUGGGAAUGGAACCACCAUUUGAUCCAGCUAUCCCUCUCCUUGGUCUAUACCCAAAGGACUUUAAAUCAGCAUACUACAGGGACACAGCCAUAUCAAUGUUUCUAGCAGCACAAUUCACAAUAGCUAAACUGUGGAGCCAACCUAAAUGGCCUUCAAUAGAUGAAUGGAUAAAAAAAAUGUGGCAUAUAUACACAUGGAAUUUUAUUCAGCAAUAAAAAGAGAACAAAAUCAUGGCAUUUGCAGGUAAAUGGAUAGCACUGGAGAAGAUAAUGCUAAGUGAAGUUAGCCAAUCCCCAAAAAACAAAUGCCGAAUGUUUUCUCUGAUAUAAGGAGGCUGAUUCAUAGUUGGGUAGGGAGGGGGAACAUAGGAGGAAUAGACAAAGUCUAGAUAGGGCAGAGGGGUGGGAGGGAAAGGGAGGGGGCAGGGGGUUGGCAAGGAUGGUGGAAUGUGAUAGACAUCAUUAUCCAAAGUACAUGAAUGAAGACACGAAUUGGUGUCAACAUAUGUUAUAUACAACCAGAGAUAUGAAAAAAUUGUGCUGUAUAUGUGUAAUAAAAAUUGUAAUGCAUUCCACUGCCAUUUAUUUUUUAAAGAAAUCAAUAAAAAAAUUCACACUCAUGCCCUUCAUUUUGCUUAUUGAACAUCGUAUUUAACUGUUGCUUUUCCCACAUCAUUGGAUUCAGUUUUGAAAAUAAUUCUUUACUCAAUUAUCAUAAUAACCUAAAGCAUUUAGAUUAAAUAUUAUAAUGUGACUUUUUAAGAUAUUUAUAAGUAUUUUUAAAUUUAUUUGUUAUCACUGUGACUAGUAAUUUAUAUUUGCAUUUUACUUUAUAGUUUUUAAAGUAUCUCUACUACCUAAUUAUUAAAUAAUAAUGGUUGGUCCUUUAGUUGAAGGAAAAGAGCUAUUUCUGUAUUAACUUAGGUUCUGCAUCUGGGGCCUGCUAAAUAAUUGAUAAUGGAUUACCUGAGAAAAGGCAUGCAAACUUCAUUUGAUAUUGAUAAUUUAAUUUUUAUGUGCAUGGAAGCUUUCAUGGAAAUGAAGAUUCCCACAAGGCUGUUAGACCUAGGGUCUUAUAGUUUAUAUGAUAUUUCUCCAUAAAUUGUAGACAAGUGAAAAGACAAAGGAAAAGGUGUUUGAUCUUCUUAGGGCACUAAAUCAGGAGAAGAUUAUAUACAUAGGAAACUAAUGGCAGAAGUUUAUAUAAGUAAUAUUUGUUUGUACAGACCUAUCUCAAAAAGGACCUUCUUGGCUGGGGUUGUGGCUCAGUGGUAGAGUGCCUGCCUAGCAUGUGUGGGGCACUGGGUUCGAUUCUCAGCACCACAUAUAAAUAAAUAAAAUAAAGAUCCAUUGACAGCUAAACAAUAAUAAAAAAAAAAGGACCUUCCGUCUCCUAUGAUAAGGGUUCUUCUCUUGGUAUGGGUGAGGAAAGACGAAACAUAUUCACAAAGGGAAAUUUAUGUCUUACUUUAGGCAGACUGGGAGAGGACAAAGCAUUCUCUCUGUGUUUGUUGUUUUCUUAUUGCCUUUAGCUCAAAAUAAUCUUUACACCUAAGUAGCAAAUUUUAGGGUUGCAUAUUAUGGUUUCCUUGUAUCCAAAGUGUAAGAAGUAAAAGCAUUAGACAUAAUGCUAUGACCGUAACAACCAUUAUCAUCUUUUACCUCUUUUUAAACAACUAAAACCAAUUAAGUUCUCUUUAUCAGGUAUCUUAUGGAAAUGGAUUGGGGUUUUGACAACCUAUGGUUUUUGUUUAUAGGUGAGAGUAUCUUAGUUUGUAAGAACUCUGAGAAAUCAAAGGGCAUAGCUCUACUUCAGGGAUCUCUAAAACCUGUUCGCAGCUGUCUGCAAAGACGAGAAGGAGAAGAAGUAACUGCCAGUAUGAUACGAGCUAUUCUGGAGGUAAGACAGGGUUCAAUAAACUACCACUUGGCUCUUUUAUACCUAUGUUAACAUGGUAGUACUUUAGUAGGUGAAAAUAUUUUUGUUGUUGUUGUAUGAGGAACAGAACUCAGGAAUGCUCUACCAAUGAGCUACAUCUUUGAUCCCCUCCCCCCUCGCUUUUUAAAAAUUCUAGGACAGGAUCUAAAUUUCUGAGGCUGGCCUUGAAUUUGAGGACUGGCCUCCUACCUCAGCCUCUUGAAUAGCUGGGAAUACAGGCAUGUGCCUCUGUGCCGCCUGGCUAAUAUGUGAAAAAUCUUGUCUCUCUUUCUCUUUUUAAAUUAUUUUAUAUUUUUAGCCUUCCCAAAUCUGAAUUUGUAUGUGUUUCAGCUAGUGCUCUAUCAAUUCACUUCAAAAUAAUAAUUAAAAACUGAAUGCCAGAUGGUUCUUUUCACUUUUUAGAUAUUCUUUAUUGUUUUUUGAAGUUAAAGGUAACAAAAAAUGUACGCAGUUCCUCCAUCUAGAUCAUAUCUUAUGACACUAAAAUAAAAUCAUGGUACAACUAUAUAUGAUUAGAAGUUUACAAUAAUACAGAAAAAUCUCAACAAUAUUCAACAAUAGUACAACAAAUUCUGUACAAUAAUACAGAAAAAUAAAACCUUUCUUUGCUCAGAUUCCUCGAAGGUAACCCCCUGAUGAGCAUUUCAAGUUUGAUUCAGACAUGUUUUUUGUGCUUAUAUCAGCAUGCCUUGGUGUUGCUUUCAGCACCAGUACUAGUGAUAUUGGUGCCUCUAUGUGAAUUCUUUUCUAAUCAGUUUGGGAAAAAAGAAAAUACUUGAUAACAUAGGGUCAGGAAUGAUGUCCAAAGUAGACACAUUAAUACAUUGCUGAAACUCUUUUGGAGAGCAAUUUGGCCUUACCUGCUAAAAUUGAAACUACAUAUACCCAUUUGCCUAGCAGUUCUACAUCUAGGAAUUUUAUCCAGGAAUAUAUUUGUGAAAUUAUAUUAAAUUAAAUGUAAAAAAUAUUUUUAUAGCACUAUUAGUUAAUAACAAAAAAAUGGAAAGAAACUAAGAUACCAUUAAUACGAAUUUUAUGGCAAAAGAUGCUUUGUGGUCAUUAAAAAGCUCUGUGAUGAUAUGUGUCCAAUAUAAAGUAAAAGAAGGCAAGAGACAAAUUUGUAUAUAUAAUAAAGUAGCUAUGGGUAAAAUAAUAUCUGCAAUAAGUGACUUCAUGUUUUCUUGCACCUAUUCCCAGCUUUCUGUGUGGGAAGUAUUCAAUAGUAGCAUUCCUCCUAUGUGCCUUAGAGGAAGGAUGAAAACAUUUGAUUUGGUUUAUGGCCUUGAACUGUCACUACCUCUUUCAUGUGUAUUGUUAGUUCUGAAAUUUCAAAUGGAUAAUGAUUCAUUUAUUUUUGUUUAUAAGCAAGUACUAUGUCUACCUACCUUGAGGGAAAACUUUUCAUGUUGUUAGCAGGUACUAUCUAUAUUUGCAGUAUGUGAUGAUGGAAGAGAGUUAAUAAGAGUAUCUAAGAUUCUGAAACUAUUUUAAGAGAAUAAAAUCUCUUAUAUUAUGAAGGCCUGUAUAUCUUAUAAAAAAUUUACAGAAGUUUUUAAACAUUUUCUAUCAGAUAAUAGUUGGUGGUGUGGCAAGUACAUCAAAAGAUAUGCAGAUGUAUGCUUCUUGUACAUUUUUGGCUGCGAGUAUUAAAGAAGGGAAGCAGGGAAUUCAGAGAAAUCAAGAUUCUGUCCAACUUGGAGCAAUCGAGGCCUGUGUGAUGUGGCUACUAGAAAAUGAAUUCAUCCAGAUUACAGAAGACAGUGAUGGAACAGAAGGUAAAUAUGAGUUCUCAGUUAAAAUUUAUUUACUGUUUCAUCUUCUACUCACUUUUCUGAAAAUCUUGCUUAUAAAUUUCUGCAUGUUAGGUAAGAUUCUGUUUGUAAAAUUGAUGAGAGCUGAGAAGGUUAAUACAGGAAUAUAGAAAGACAAUGUUUUGUUUUAUUUUAUAUUAUUUUUAACAUUUGCUCCUGUGUUUCUUCACUCCCAAACCAGGAAAGGUGUAUCGUCCAACACAUCUUGGUUCUGCUACCCUUUCUUCAUCACUUUCUCCAACUGAUACCUUAGAUAUUUUUGCUGACCUCCAAAGAGCAAUGAAGGGUUUUGUUUUAGAGAAUGAUCUUCAUAUUGUCUAUCUGGUAAG
rnacentral:lncRNA from 1 species